rnacentral:rRNA from 1 species
UACGUAGGGACCAAGCGUUGUUCGGAUUUACUGGGCGUAAAGGGCGCGUAGGCGGCUUGACAAGUCACCUGUGAAAUCUCCGGGCUUAACUCGGAACGGCCAAGUGAAACUGUCAUGCUAGAGUGCAGAAGGGGCAAUCGGAAUUCUUGGUGUAGCGGUGAAAUGCGUAGAUAUCAAGAGGAACACCUGAGGUGAAGACGGGUUGCUGGGCUGACACUGACGCUGAGGCGCGAAAGCCAGGGGAGCAAACGGG